rnacentral:rRNA from 1 species
UACGUAGGGGGCUAGCGUUGUCCGGAAUCAUUGGGCGUAAAGCGCGCGUAGGCGGCCCGGUAAGUCCGCUGUAAAAGUCCAGGGCUCAACCCUGGAAAGCCGGUGGAUACUGUCGGGCUCGAGUCCGGAAGAGGCGAGUGGAAUUCCUGGUGUAGCGGUGAAAUGCGCAGAUAUCGGGAGGAACACCUAUGGCGAAGGCAGCUCGCUGGGACGUUACUGACGCUGAGACGCGAAAGCGUGGGGAGCAAACAGG